rfam:Hebeloma cylindrosporum h7 unplaced genomic scaffold scaffold_3, whole genome shotgun sequence.
GGUGAGAUGGCCGAGCGGUCUAAGGCGCCAGACUAAGGACCAGGACAGUUACUGUCCAACAUAUCUGGUCCUCCGGGGCGUGGGUUCGAAUCCCACUCUCAUCA